ncrna:unclassified sequences eL15-Euryarchaeota ribosomal protein leader
UGGGAUAAGUAAAACCAUCCCAUGGAUGUGGCGCAAGCUGAACAAAGAG